CCUGGCUGCUCUGAGCAGAGUAGGGGUGGGGCCUUGCUGACUGUGAGUCUGCCAGAGCUUCCAUUUGAUUGGCUUCUCUCCCCCAUGAAUAGUGGGACUGUGAGUGGGACAGCAGGUUGUGAGUGGGGGGCUCUUGCUCUUUCAGGGACCGGUGACCUUCAAGGAGGUGGCUGUGUAUUUCACCAGGGAAGAGUGGGCUCUGCUGCACCCCCGUCAAAGAGCCCUCUACAGCGAAGUCAUGCAGGAGAACUUUGAGAAUGUGACCUCGUUGGGGUUUGCAGCUUCCAAACCUG